rnacentral:SRP_RNA from 1 species
UGUCAGGCCCCGUGCGGCAACGCCGGCGAAUUCCGCCAGGACGGGAACGUAGCAACGGCAGUCAGGAUGUUUGCGCGGCGCGGGUCACCUGACAUUC